rnacentral:rRNA from 1 species
CCCGACUGCUCUUUGGGUGAUAAUAAGCCAUGCGAGUUGAAUGGAAUACCUAAAUUUUCCAUGGCAAACUGCUCAGUAACACAUGAUCAACUUACCCUAUAGAGAAAAAUAACCUCGGGAAACUGAGGAUAAUGUUUCAUAGUUGAAAAGGCUUGGAAAAGUUUUUCAAUAAAAGGGAUAAGAAAAAUGGUUUUUAUCCGCUACAGGAUAGGAUCGUGGUCGAUUAUGGUUGUUGGUGAGGUAAUGGCUCACCAAGCCGAUAAUCGAUAGGGGCCGUGAGAGCGGGAGCCCCGAGAUGGGUACUGAGACAACGACCCAGGCCUUACGAGGCGCAGCAGGCGCGAAACCUCCGCAAUACACGAAAGUGUGACGGGGUUACCCAAAGUGUUCAAUUUUGAACUGUGGUAGGUGAGUAAUGUCCCCUACUAGAAAGGAGAGGGCAAGGCUGGUGCCAGCCGCCGCGGUAAAACCAGCUCUUCAAGUGGUCGGGAUAAUUAUUGGGCUUAAAGUGUCCGUAGCCGGUUCAGUAAGUUCCUGGUAAAAUCGGGUAGCUUAACUAUCUGUAUGCUAGGAAUACUGCUAAACUAGAGGGCGGGAGAGGUCUGAGGUACUACAGGGGUAGGGGUGAAAUCUUAUAAUCCUUGUAGGACCACCAGUGGCGAAGGCGUCAGACUGGAACGUGCCUGACGGUGAGGGACGAAAGCCAGGGGAGCGAACCGGAUUAGAUACCCGGGUAGUCCUGGCCGUAAACGAUGCAUACUAGGUGAUGGCAUGGCCAUGAGCCGUGUCAGUGCCGUAGGGAAACCGUUAAGUGUGCCGCCUGGGAAGUACGGUCGCAAGGCUAAAACUUAAAGGAAUUGGCGGGGGAGCACCACCAAGGGGUGAAGCCUGCGGUUC